CGGGGCCGCAGGCUCCAGUGGGAGGAAAGGGGCGGGGCCGCCGGCUCUAAGGGUGGACCUGAGAGGUGACUCACCAACUCCUGCCCUGGACCCUCCUGCGCCACUGAACCCCCUGACCUGGGGGCCUCGGAACCUAGGGCUCAGGAAGUGGGGCGGCCGUGGGUCCCAUCAGGCUUUCCCCUCGGAUCCUCUCCAGGAUGAACCAGGACUUACCUGAGGUUACCAAGUGAACUUCUGGGAAAAGUCCAAUUCUCAGAUGCUAGAUGUCUUCCAAAAAUGAAGCAAAUUUGUAACUUA
rnacentral:lncRNA from 1 species